UGCAGAGGUCGGACUCAAACCACGACAUACCGGUCAGUAAAUCCGUGCUCUAACCACUGAGCUAUCUCGC
rnacentral:tRNA from 11 species